UUAACAUAAGAAAAGUUUUCCAGGUCUGUGGUGAUUCCUCCAUGGAGGACGCUGUGGAACCGGUUACAGAACUAAUGGAGAGGAGGUGGAGUUGAUCCUGCUCCCAAGGGCAGGACAUCAUGGUCUGGUGCAACUCAGAGGAGGAACUCUGCCUUUUCUAGAGUCAUCUUCUUUGUUUUGUGCUAAUGGGCCAGAUGCACGGAGACCAGUGAUGCACUGAAGUCUUAUGCAAAGAGCUGAAUAUGUUAUAUGAAUGUUAUGCAGAAAAAAAAGAAAGAAAAUGAACUAAAUGGAGUAGCUUACCCCCUGUUUGGUUUCUGUGAGCUUGGUUUCUGUUGGUUGGGGGACCAACAGAUUAAAACAUUACCAUGAAAUAAAAUAAAAAAAUGUCAACAGAAAUGUCAUAUGAAAUAACACAAUAAAAACGUCUUUAGACAAGUCCCUACUGUAGCUUUCACUUUACUGAGAAACCGAAUCUGAUGAGGAGAGGGAGGAGUUCAUUGAGGAAGUGUUAGAGUAUUUAAGCGAGAGGAAACAGAGACCCCUCCUUUCUAUCCUGCAGACUCUCUUGUCUGAUAUGGAGCGGAGAUGGACAGCUUGUAUGCUGUGAUCUAGUGUGCAGACUGCUGCCACUAGAUGACUGCGCACGAGUUGAGACGUCACGCUGCCUAAGGAUCUGUUUGGCAUUGUGCCGAUGCUUGCGUUUAUUAUUAUUUUAUUUUGAGGAGGAGAGGAGGAGAACCCAACUGCCAAGGGAUUCGGGCACUCGGGUCCACUGCCCUGUUCUAGUGCAUUCUCUGGCAACACUGGAUCUCUGGCCGGGGUCCAGUGGACCUGCAGUGAACAGCGCCAGGUCCAGGACCCGCUGACAAAGCACCAGAAAACUAGAAGCAACCAAACAAAUCACACAAACAAGAAAACUGAAGCCGACUACUACCCUUAAA